UACAGAGGGGGGCAAGCGUUGUUCGGAAUUACUGGGCGUAAAGGGCGCGUAGGCGGCCUGUUAAGUCGAACGUGAAAUCCCCGGGCUCAACCCGGGAACUGCGUCCGAUACUGGCAGGCUUGAAUCCGGGAGAGGGAUGCGGAAUUCCAGGUGUAGCGGUGAAAUGCGUAGAUAUCUGGAGGAACACCGGUGGCGAAGGCGCAUCCUGGACCGGCAUUGACGCUGAGGCGCGAAAGCCAGGGGGAGCAAAACGGGG
rnacentral:rRNA from 1 species